CGCAGACAAAGAACAGACGUUUGUUGGUGAGGGGAUACGCCCUUACCAAGAGGAGAGUGGAGAAGCGCGCCAUCCUGAGGUCUCUACGUGCGGAGUUAUUUAUGAAGUUUUCCUUGUGGCACAAAUAUGUUGAACUACAGAAGAAGUGGUGCGAUCUGAAGAGGUUUAAACCCAAACUUGUAAAGGAGAUGAGCGAACGAUUAUGUCCAGG